AGCGAACGCUGGCGGCAGGCUUAACACAUGCAAGUCGAGCGGGCAUCCUUGUGGUGUCAGCGGCAGACGGGUGAGUAACGCGUGGGAACGUGCCCUUCGGUUCGGAAUAACUCAGGGAAACUUGAGCUAAUACCGGAUACGCCCUUUUGGGGAAAGGUUUACUGCCGAAGGAUCGGCCCGCGUCUGAUUAGCUAGUUGGUGAGGUUAUGGCUCACCGAGGCGACGAUCAGUAGCUGGUCUGAGAGGAUGAUCAGCCACACUGGGACUGAGACACGGCCCAGACUCCUACGGGAGGCAGCAGUGGGGAAUAUUGGACAAUGGGGGCAACCCUGAUCCAGCCAUGCCGCGUGAGUGAUGACGGCCUUAGGGUUGUGAAGCUCUUUUCUCCGGGACGAUAAUGACGGUACCGGAGGAAUAAGCCCCGGCUAACUUCGUG
rnacentral:rRNA from 1 species